GUUGGGGGGUGGGGAGGAUCUAUCAGGCACACCCGAUUCAGGUCCUUUAAUGAGCCUCUGGGUUCAUCUCAGGUAUCUACUAGUCUCCAGAAAAGAGAGAGCAGGAGUUCCCAGUGGCGGUUCUGACACGGCUCGAGCGCCGGGGACACGCACGGCAGACUACCCCAGACGCCUCAAGGCUGCGCGCGAAGACUCGGCGCAGACAGACGCACAGAUGGGGCUCCCCCACCCUGGACACGGAGGCGGACGGCUGGGAAGCCCAGGAACCCUCAGACCUAGGGAAGGGCGAGUCUUAAAGGAGACGCUCCAUGCUGAAGGUUAGACCGUGGGAAUCUGAGAGAAUCUCUCCCUCUUCGCCAGAAUGUGAGAUUCAGAGCGAGAAGCGGGUGAAGUUUUGUGGAAAGAAUGAAAAUAGGACUCAGUGGAGAAAGGAUCGCAGUGUGUGGUAUCCUAUACUCCCUUUUCCAACCACAUACGCCCACACUCAUAGGGACGUGCUUCU